rfam:Hordeum vulgare subsp. vulgare, WGS project CAJW01000000 data, contig: morex_contig_37671
UUGCAGCUGCGGUAUUGGCUCGGCUCACUCAGGUCAUCGUGUGGCAGCAGCAUAUACAUAUGAGAUAUGACUGCAAUGCUUCUCAGUAUGAUCUGAUUGAGCCGCGCCAAUAUCUUAGUGCCAUUU